ACGGAAGGCAGCAGUGGGGAAUAUUGGGCAAUGGGCGAAAGCCUGACCCAGCAACGCCGCGUGAAGGAAGAAGGUUUUCGGAUUGUAAACUUCUGUCCUUGGUGACGAAGGAAGUGACGGUAGCCAAGGAGGAAGCCCCGGCUAACUACGUGCCAGCAGCCGCGGUAAUACGUAGGGAGCAAGCGUUAUCCGGAUUUACUGGGUGUAAAGGGCGUGUAGGCGGGACAUCAAGUCAGAUGUGAAAGCACGAGGCUCAACUUCGUGUCUGCAUUUGAAACUGACGUUCUUGAGUGUUGGAGAGGCUAACGGAACUCCUAGUGUAGCGGUGAAAUGCGUAGAUAUUAGGAAGAACACCAGUGGCGAAGGCGGUUAGCUGGACAAUAACUGACGCUGAGGCGCGAAAGCGUGGGUAGCAAACAGGAUUAGAUACCCUGGUA
rnacentral:rRNA from 1 species